GACGAACCGUGCGAACGUUAUUCGGAAUCACUGGGCUUAAAGGGCGCGUAGGCGGCUUUGCAAGUCCGGGGUGAAAGCCCCCAGCUCAACUGGGGAAGUGCCUCGGAUACUGCGGAGCUUGAGGGAGGUAGGGGCGGAUGGAACUUCCGGUGGAGCGGUGAAAUGCGUUGAUAUCGGAAGGAACGCCGGUGGCGAAAGCGAUCCGCUGGCCCUCUACUGACGCUGAGGCGCGAAAGCCAGGGGAGCAAACGGG
rnacentral:rRNA from 1 species